GCAACCGGGAGCGUCUGGCGCACAGGCGACCGCAGUGCGCGGGAGCGCGGGAAACCAGGGCUGCGCGCGCUGAGGGGAGCGCAGAGAGAGGCAACCCCAGCCAGACUGCGUGCCCCGUUCAGUACGCCGAUGGAACAGUCGAGGCUGAGGGAAAAGAUUUGGGAGUAUUUCAUCCCAUUACGAUAGGACCCUCCCCUAAAGGACUUUACAGCCUAAGAGACCGGCCAGACACAAAGGACAGAAGCAAAACUCCAUGGCAAAGGAGUCCAGGGCAGCAGGUCGGGGAGAGAGGCCCCUGGUUCAAACGUAGGCUUCACGUUGGAAAAAACAGGGAGGCUCUCCUGUGCGGGGUAGGAUGUUCAGCGGCAUCCCUGGAAUCUACCCACUCGGUUCCAUCCACUCCCACCACCUCUACCACCUGUUGUGACGACCAGAAUUGUCUCCAGUCACUGCCAGAGGUCCCUGGAAGGAAAAUCGUUCCCCCACCCCUGCCCCGUUGAGAACCGCUGUUGUGGAACAAUGAUGCUCCGAGGUCAUGAUGUCAGAGUCCUGGGAUCGAGCCCCCCAUC